AAAAAGAAAAAGAAAAAGGAAAAACAAAAAAACAAAAACAACACUAAGCAGUAUAAUAGUGCCGUCCAUGCAACUUGGAAAAAAAAAAAACAGUUUGCAACUAAGGCAAGAGAAAUAGCAGAAGCAAUGACCACACACAUGGUACACAUUCCAACAGUUGUCUGCCAAGCUCACUGACAAGAUCAACUGCAAAUGAGUGAUAAUUAUUUUUCCGAAGAAAAUCAUACAAGCUUGGUCCAAGCAUCUCAAAAAACUGUUAAACCAUUUAAAUCCACUACCAAGUCUUAAUCCCUAGAAUAUUUGCGAAGACGGGGAAAUGGCAUUGUAAAUUAAUGAUAUACUUACAAUACAGAUAUGA
rnacentral:misc_RNA from 1 species